GGAGAGUGAACACCUGAACAACUUCCUCCACCAACGGGGCAAUACGGGCAUGGACCGAGCGCUGAACCCACACAAAGCUGCACAUUCUUGUCAGGAGCACCAGGACCCCUCGGCGAGACAGACCGUGUACUGGGCCAUGGAAUGAGUUUGGAUAUGCUUGAAACGACUGGAACCCACCAGCAUUUGCAUCCUCCCUGGCCACAAACCCUCCUCUCUGGGUGCAGGUGGUGAGAGCUCGGAAGGGACAGGGUUGCAUUCAGCGGCGACAGGCAGGAACUGCCUGCAAUUAUACGGACCUGAGUGCAACAAAGUGAGACAGCGCGACGGCGGGGCUAAGAUUGUGAGAUACGCGGAAGCGGAACGCAGACAGGUCUCGACCCCUAGUGGUGACGUCAGAAGAGAGGCGUGUCAGCCGGGAGGCGUCCCCCGGUUUCUGGCUGGGGUAACUGGGUGAUGAUUCGGAUUCCCAAUAAUUUAAACAAAGCACAGGGCCCGAAACAAGAAGUAUCGCUCUCACUUAUCUGCCCUCUCAAGCCCCGCCCGGUUACCAAACGCUUUGGAGGGGAAUCCACAGACCCAAGCGGCCGUAGAGCGCGCCACGGCCUUCGGAGGAAAGGAAGUAGAUUUUACGGCGAGCCGUAAAGUAGGGUGUGCGGUGAGCUGUAAAGCACGUUCCCUUCCGGUUCACGACAGCAGUCCCGACCGUCUCUGCCGGCCUUCCUCCGUCUGAACAUUGGUGGAUACCUCUGGAGGCCCUCUAAACUUCUCAUAACAAUAUUCUGGAGCACCAGUCACUCUGACAGUCAAGGUCCCUGGGAAGUCGCUGAGAAAAUGAUGAAUAGAAAGAAAAGUGAAGGAAUUGUAAGACUGAAAAGAGAGAUGGGCCAAUGAACUUCUGAGUCACUUGAGCAAAAUCAAAUACCAACUAUGAAAAUUAACCAUUAGUCAAACUAAUUGAUUUAUAAGAUGAAUAGUCCUCUCAGAAUCAAAAUAAUGAUAUUAAAUGGCAGAAUAACUGCAUUUGAGGCUAUUGAAAGGGAAGAAAACCUCUGCAGUGACUAAAGUUAAUGGCCUGCUGUGCUCUAAUGUGAACUUUUCCCAUUCAGAAUAUAUACAUAUU